rnacentral:tRNA from 1 species
GCCUGGGUGGCUCAGUCGGUUAAGCGUCCGACUUCAGCUCAGGUCAUGAUCUCACAGUCCGUGGGUUCGAGCCCCGCAUCGGGCU